GCUGUGCUGCGACUUCACUGCUGCUGCUCACUGUGACUUCACUGCUGCUCCUUUCUUGGAGGCCUGGUCAUGCAGGGUAUGAAGAGUGAGGUUUCCUGCAGUAAUCUGACCCCAAACCACCAUGAUUUUGAAAAAUCCAGAAAGUACAAGUGAUACUGGGCAAUAGUACAACAAAAAUCAUAUUGUGGGGAAUUGUGCAGGUACCUACAGAAAAGAAGGAAUGGAAAGCUUGGGUAGAUGCAGUGAGAAGAAAAAAGGCAUGAAGUGAUAAAUCUGUUGUUUGCGUGUCAAGACUAUUUCAACGGAACAACUGUGGAGAAGUUUCAUAGGAGUGGAGAUGUGGGGAGUGAACACCUCACGUUGUCAGCAAAUUUAGAAGAAAAAAAGCAGAGUAAAGCCAGACAGCAGAAUAAGUUGCAAAGUAUCUCUGCCCCAAUGAAGGCCAGAAAAAUGAUGUCAUAAUCGCAUCAGCCAGUGAGAUGUAUGUGACGAAGAGAUGUACACAUGGACUACUGCAAACAAGUAGAAGCAGCUACAUGUAAACAUAUUUCGGACUUGUAAAACCAAUUGUUCCAUUUUCAACUAUAAAUACAAGAGGUGGAGCGUUAUAUACACAACUUCAUGCUUGCAAAGUUAGAUUCAUCACUGCAGAGACAAAAAAAGAAACACAUUGGCAAGAACUGAGUUUGCCAUUUUUCGUGGGCAGCUGCUGUUGGAGGAAACUGAAAGCCCCGCGUGGCUCACUGAACUAGUUCCAUGGAUUUUUUUGGAUCCUGGCCAUUGAACUGAACAGGGCAGUCCUUGCAUUUGCAAGAAUUUCUUUGUGUGUAUCGGAGAUCUGCAUUUGAAACACUGCAUGUGCAAUGGAAACAUAUGUGAAGAACUGCAGCCACAGUUGCAUGUGGGUAUCAAAGUUCCCGCAUUUGGAAAGAGUAGCUGAUCAUGAAGCAUGGGUGCAACUCAAUGGAAAGUAGGCACAUUACAGUUGUGGCAACAAUAUUAAUACUUUAAUUGUGUGCUUAACCAUCGAUUUUCAGCAGGAGUUAAAUGUGCCUAACUUUCUCCAGAUUUGCUCAAAUGUUUUUAGUUUAGCUUUCGUCUACUCAGUAGACGCUUACAAAGUAUAAAUACAGCACACAUUUAAUUGAAGUCAAUGGACCUAUAUUGAUUUACACAAGCUGUCAAUCUAGCCCAGUGUCUCCUACCUUGUCGCUAUUCCAAUGUCUCUUGUCAGUAACUAUUGUAUAAACAAACACAGACUGUCAGGAGUCUUGGAGGGGAAAGCUUUUCCUCUCCCAUUAUGGAAAUGCUGACCUUUUGGGAUCUGGGUGGAAGCUUUGUUUCACAUUCUGACAGAUGACUUUGUCUAGCAAAGAUCUGUGACAUGGCUUUUGGCACACAGAAGGAAGAAAAGUCAAGCUUAAUGGGACAAAUUAUAGGACUGGGACAGAAGAGCUGACUAGGCUAAGUAAUCAAACAACAGUUAAUAGCAUCGAGGUCACCUUUUCUCCCUUUUCUCCUACAUCACCCUUUUCUCCGCGAGGACCAGGGAAACCCUAUAAAAAAUGAACAAAAAUACCUCUAUUGGCUUCUACAUACCCAUUUGUGGGUUUGUUUUUAUUUUACAGCCGAGUUAUAUGCACACACACACACACACCAAGAAUACUGCAUGAUUUGGAAAUAAGAGAAGGCCAUAAUAUUCAGCAAGAUAGACUUAUGUCAGCCAUCCAGAUAGAUUAAAAGUAACCCUAUUUUCCUACAUGCAAAUGGGAACUGGCAAUCACCAAAGCAAAGUGUUUCCGUAAGGAGUCUUUGGUGCUGAUCACAUAGGAGAAAAUAUUACAAUAAUUUGUCCCACUGCAAAUGCAGUUGCAUAACAUGGAAUGUUCACUUACAAGUUCACCUAAUAAGGAAAACACUACACUGACAUUAGUGCUUGUAGCAACCUGGCAUCACAACUGUGUGGAGGCUGCUCCACAUGGCAAUGUGUUUGUGUGAAACAGCUUUUUAUCAGAUUUCAACUUCUUUUACCAAGAAGUUGCAAUCUCUUUUCUGUGGCUUGUUACCACCAGAAUCUUAGCACGUCACACAAAUAAAAUGUCAUGGCAUGCACACUUCUUGUGGUUGUGUUUCCAAGCACCAUUGACUACAUGUAUAGCUAAAAGCACUUCCCAUGGCCAUUUAUCAGGUGCUCUAGUUAGCAUCAGUUUUUGCAGGUGCUUAUUAGUGUCACUAUUUAUUAUGGGAUUUACAAGAUAGCCCUUUCUUAGCAGUGUUCUCCUCACUAUUAUAAGUAUUCUUAUUUCUUUUUAUCAUUAUUUAAAUAAUGAAAGGCAAACAGCAAUGCAGUGUUUAGUAUAUUCUCUGCAUGAUCAUCAUGCACACCAAAUGGGGGGAGGGAUCAACAUGCUCCAAGCAUGCAAUCUUUACUUGAGAAACAAGCAAACACACCUUUACCUACCACACAAACAAACUAGGCAUAAACAUUACUUACAUCAAGGCCAGGUUCGCCAUCUUUGCCCUAAUAAAGAACCAUAUCAAUUAUGUUAAGCUCAGGUUGUUCUUGUUCAAGCCAUGACUGUUCAGAUGUGCAGGAACUGUGCAGUGCAUUAUCUUGCACACAAACCCCUGGAUUUAUUUAAUUUUUUAAUGUAGAUGCUUUCUGCAUGGAGGUCAUGCAGGACAUCACACUUGAUACACAAAAUGAAAUGAAGCAAAUGCUUUAUAGAGGGAUGAUGGUUGGCUGAGCAUCUGGAGAACUGGUGUGAGCUGUGUGCCAGAAAGUUCCCAGCUGAAUCUCCUCUCACGGCAAUGAACUCAUGUCCAUGCAAUCCCAGCUAAUGAGCCUGUA